AAAACGAGCAGUAAAACCUCUACAGGCUUGUAGCUCAGGUGGUUAGAGCGCACCCCUGAUAAGGGUGAGGUCGGUGGUUCAAGUCCACUCAGGCCUACCAGAUUCGCUCCCGUGCUUUGUUGUGGCAAAGCUCGCAUACUUCAGUAUGCUUCGCUUCACCACGCCGCGCCCGGAAACGAAUCAAAGGUAAGAGGUUCUGACUACACGAUGGGGCUAUAGCUCAGCUGGGAGAGCGCCUGCUUUGCACGCAGGAGGUCUGCGGUUCGAUCCCGCAUAGCUCCACCAUCUCGUGAGUGUUUACGAAAAAAUACUUCAGAGUGUACCUGAAAGGGUUCACUGCGAAGUUUUGCUCUUUAAAAAUCUGGAUCAAGCUGAAAAUUGAAACACAGAACAACGAAAGUUGUUCGUGAGUCUCUCAAAUUUUCGCAACACGAUGAUGAAUCGAAAGAAACAUCUUCGGGUGGGAGGUA
rnacentral:misc_RNA from 1 species